UCUAAUAUGGCAGAAUACUAUGCAAUGAACUUAAAAUUCAUUUAUAAAGAAUAAUCUUUUUUUAGAA
rnacentral:tRNA from 1 species